rnacentral:misc_RNA from 2 species
AACGCACAUUGCGCCCGCCAGCAUUCUGGCGGGCAUGCCUGUUCGAGCGUCAUUUCAACCCUCGCAGCCCAUCUGGGCAGCGGUGUUGGGGACCGGCACCACCGGCGAAGCCCUUAGGGGCCCAGCCGGCGCCGCCCCCGAAAUACAGUGGCGGUCUCGCUGCAGCCUCCCUUGCGUAGUAGCACACCUCGCACCGGAGCGCAGCGCGGCCACGCCGUAAAACCCCCGACUUUCUGAGUUUGACCUCGAAUCAGGUAGGAAUACCCGCUGAACUUAA